CCUACGGGAGGCAGCAGUGGGGGAUAUUGCACAAUGGGGGAAACCCUGAUGCAGCGACGCCGCGUGUGGGAAGACGGUCCUCUGGAUCGUAAACCACUGUCCCCAGGGACGAAAAUGACGGUACCUGGGGAGGAAGCUCCGGCUAACUACGUGCCAGCAGCCGCGGUAAUACGUAGGGAGCGAGCGUUGUCCGGAAUUACUGGGUGUAAAGGGAGCGUAGGCGGGGAUGCAAGUUGGGUGUCAAAACUACCGGCUCAACUGGUAGUCGCACUCAAAACUGCAGCUCUUGAGUGAAGUAGAUGCAG
rnacentral:rRNA from 1 species